rnacentral:misc_RNA from 1 species
GGAAGGAUCAUUAAUACUAAUCCAAACAACUAAACCAAGCCUUAAGUUGCAGCAUCGGUCCAAGCUAGCGAAAGCAGGCAUGAACCUAUGCAGCAUCUAUUAUAACUAACCAAACAAAGGAGUUUAACUAAGCUCUUACACUAAAACCAAAUUCUCAACGAUGGAUAUCUUGGUUCCCGUAACGAUGAAGAACGCAGCGAAGUGCGAUAAGCAGUGCGAAUUGCAGAACCGUGAGUCAUCAGAUCUUUGAACGCAACUGGCGCCGGUUGGCAAUCCAGCCGGCAUGCUUGUUUCAGUGUCUUGUUUUCUCCUCACCCAUACCUUAAUGUGAGAGAUACCCUUCUCUUACUAAGUAGGAAAGCACUCUGUACUUUGCAGGCAGCCUUGACUUGUCAAGGGUUGCACUCAAUGCAGCAGUCACAUUUUACAAUGUGAACUCAUUGAGAGUAGAGACAGCGCAGUUUAUCUGCAAGUGCUUAGACAUUUAAACUUUACUUGCAUCUGAAAUCAAGCAGGAUUACCCGCUGAACUUAAGCAUAUCACUAAGCGGAGGAAAAGAAAUUAACUAAGAUUGCCUCAGUAACGGCGAGUGAAGCGGCAAAAGCCCAAACUGUAAAUCUUCAUGCCUUGCAUGACGAAUUGUAAUCUACAGGUGGAGUACUUAAAGUGUGGUGACGCAGAAGUGACCUAGAAUGGUCCGCCAGAGAGGGUGACAGCCCCGUAUGUGGUGUCGCUGCUAAUGUAGUACCCUUCAAAGAGUCGGGUUGUUUUGAAUUGCAGCCCUAAGUGGGAGAUAGACUUCUUCUAAGGCUAAAUAUAUACGGGAAACCGAUAGCGAACAAGUACUGUGAAGGAAAGAUGAAAAGAACUUUGAAAAGAGAGUCAAAAGACUUGAAAUCGUUGAGAAGGAAGCGGUAGAAAUUUAUUCUUCGAUCGUGAACGAAGCUCGUCGCCUAACCAUUGCAUUUCUGAGUACUUCAACGGCUCUCUGGUGCACUUGGGGAAGUGAUUGGUGGGUUCUAGGUCGUGAGGCAAAAUGGGGUUCCACAUCCACAUAAGCUUGUUAAACCUGAGCUGGUUCGCCAGUUAGUUUGGCUGUGCUAGUGGGCGUGUUGCCUGAGGAUGCUUUGUGCGAUUUUGCCAAAAUGGUUUUUACUGACCCGUCUCGAAACACGGACCAAGGAGUCUAACAAAUAUGCGAGUGUGCUGGUGGAAAAACCAACACGCAUAAUGAAAGUAAUUGAUGCCAAGCUCACGCAGCAGCAUCGACCGACCUGAUCUUCGGAAAAAGGUUUGAGUAUGAGCAUAUCUGUUAGGACCCGAAAGAUGGUGAACUAUGCCUGGGUAGGGUGAAGCCAGGGGAAACUCUGGUGGAGGCUCGUAGCGGUUCUGACGUGCAAAUCGAUCGUCAAACUUGGGUAUAGGGGCGAAAGACUAAUCGAACCAUCUAGUAGCUGGUUCCCUC